rnacentral:rRNA from 1 species
GACGAACGCUGGCGGCGUGCCUAAUACAUGCAAGUCGAGCGGACGAAUCGAAAGCUUGCUUUUGAUUCGUUAGCGGCGGACGGGUGAGUAACACGUGGGCAACCUGCCCUGUAGACGGGGAUAACACCGAGAAAUCGGUGCUAAUACCGGAUAACACGAAAUGUCGCAUGACGUUUCGUUGAAAGACGGCGCAAGCUGUCGCUACAGGAUGGGCCCGCGGCGCAUUAGCUAGUUGGUGAGGUAACGGCUCACCAAGGCGACGAUGCGUAGCCGACCUGAGAGGGUGAUCGGCCACACUGGGACUGAGACACGGCCCAGACUCCUACGGGAGGCAGCAGUAGGGAAUCUUCCGCAAUGGACGAAAGUCUGACGGAGCAACGCCGCGUGAGCGAAGAAGGCCUUCGGGUCGUAAAGCUCUGUUGUUAGGGAAGAACAAGUAACGCAGUAACUGGCGUUACCGUGACGGUACCUAACGAGAAAGCCACGGCUAACUACGUGC